ACUUGUCCGUCCUCGCAGCCCUACACGGCUGCAGAGUUAGUAAUGUAAUAUUCAGGGACCCCGAGACCGGAAAUGCCUGGAGCUGGAAAGCUGCACUUGAAACGCGAGAGAAGGGCUAGAGAAAGUGAACGUGGGAUGGAGACGUAGGUGGUGUGUGGGGUGGAGUGAGGAGGUGAAAUGCCGCCCAAGUUGCAAUUCAGGGGUAGGCGAGGAAGAAAACGGGGGGUGUGGGGGAGGCGGAGGCAGUUGCAAAGUCAAAAUUCCAGGAGCCGGAGGAGGAGGUGGAGGUGGAAGGAGACAUGAGGACCGAGGCAGGGUGAGGGGGCCACACACACACACACACACAAAGACUCUGCAGGUGAUGCCGAACUGGAUUUAGGGACACUAGAGGUGACCCUCACACGCCUAGGAGGGUGGGGACCCGGAAUCCCAGCAGCAAGUGCUCUGCAGGAAAGUACGAUCGCUGGAGUUGCUAGUGGCGAAGCCGAAGAGGAAGGAGCUGUAUCCAAUCCCUCCAAGUUUUGUUCCAGCACCUUAGAUCUACUCAUGUUGACACAGCACCUGCAGCCGGUUAGUCUCACUAGGGGAUGGGUGAUGCUGUGUAACUAUAUAAUAGACAGUCAUGUUCUGCCACUGACGAAUGUGCUGUGUGACCUUGAGCAAGCGAAUUUGCCUCUCUGGGCUUUUCUUUCUCUGUGGAGUUGAGGUAAGGUGUUCUGCGUGUCUCAAGAUCUCUUCCAACACUAAUACUCCCUCUGAAAAUUCCCAUUCCCAGCCUUAGUAUAAACAUCGCUUCAGUGAGUUUGAAUUCUCGGGAGCCGUCUUGGCACAUCUGGAUGGACUUGGUCUGGAUGCCCCCCUGACUCAUUUGCCCAGCCCUCCUUUCCCCCCAUCACUCUGUCCUUCUCCUACACGGCCUCUCUGCCUGACACCCUCAGUUCUUCCCAUCCAGAAGUGAUUUUCCUAAAACUUAAACCUGACAUCCUUCUGUUUAAAAUGGUUUUCAAGAAGCUGAGGCAAGAGGAUUACAUUUUCUGUUAGUCUGGGUUAUGUAGUGACUAGCUGAAAAGAAAAAAUGAGUAAGAACACCCUUUGCCGACUCCCGCUGCCUUGUGGGUAGGGAUAUCAAAGACUUUCAACAUUCUGCCCGUUUCUUUGGCCCCACGGAUGUUUUUCUUUUUCGGUCUUGUGUUUUAAUAAGCCACACUUAAACUCGGUCCAGCUGCACUGAGCUGCUGCUAUUCUGCUUGAAGCGCCCAGACCUCGACAUCGCUUCCUUGUCUUUGCACUUACUUUUCUUUUCCCCUGGAGUGUUCUCCGACUUCCAGUUGUGCUGGCUGGUUUUAUGUCAACUUGACACAAGCUAGAGUCAUUUGGGAAGAGGGAACCGCAGUUGAGAAACACCCCCACCAGACUGGCCUGUGGGUAAGCCUGUGAAGCAUUUUCUUGAUUGAUGAUUGAUGAUUGACGUGAGAGGUCCCUGCCCACUAGGGGUGGUGCCCCCAAGUCCUGGGUUGUGUAAGAAGUCAGGUGGAGCAAGCCAGUAAGCAGCACUGUUCUGUGGCCUCUGCAUCAGCCAGGUUCCUGCCCUGAUUUCUUUCAGUGAUGGAGGGUGACCUGAGCGCUGUAAACUGAAAUAAACCCUUUCUUCCCCAA